GAUGAACGCUGGCGGCGUGCCUAAUACAUGCAAGUCGAGCGAACAGACGAGGAGCUUGCUCCUCUGACGUUAGCGGCGGACGGGUGAGUAACACGUGGAUAACCUACCUAUAAGACUGGGAUAACUUCGGGAAACCGGAGCUAAUACCGGAUAAUAUAUUGAACCGCAUGGUUCAAUAGUGAAAGACGGUUUUGCUGUCACUUAUAGAUGGAUCCGCGCCGCAUUAGCUAGUUGGUAAGGUAACGGCUUACCAAGGCAACGAUGCGUAGCCGACCUGAGAGGGGGGUCGCCACAAGUGGAAAGAAGACCGGGACCAGACGCCGACGGGAGGCAGAAGUAGGGAAGCUUGCGGAAUGGGAGAAAGCCUGACGGAGCAACGACGCGGGAGUGAUGAAGGUCUAAGGAUCGGAAAACGCUGUGAGGAGGGAAGAACAAAUGUGUAAGGAAAUGUGCACGUCGGGACGGGACCUAAUCAGAAAGACACGGCUAACGACGUG
rnacentral:rRNA from 1 species